GGCUGGAUGAGAUCCUGCCCUGGGUCUUAAAAAAAGAUGAAUGUUUGUGUGGCCUCCAACUUUGUGACACGUAUGUCUUCAAAGACAUUCAUGAAACAUAAGGAAAAAUCUGAUCCUGGAAUUGGCUUCUGCGUGAUUCCUGCCAAUCACCAAAUUGCUCCCUACAAAUAUUUUCCAGAAAGGGAAACCCAUGCUGGGGGUUGGGGAAAGGAGUUGAGAUGGGAAGGGGUCUGCAUUAAAGAAAUAGAAAGAAAGUCAUAGAGAAGAAAAUAAUUACCGUGGCACCGGCAGAGAGGAAGAACAAAGCAGCAAACAAACAAAACAAAACAAAAGGAAAAAUUAAAAAGGAAGAAAAGACAAGAAAAGAAAUAAAACCAGAGAAGUUUUGUAAAUUUGGGCUGAUAGAAACCACUGCACUUUUCUGUUUUUACAAUUUACAUUAAAAAAAAAAAUACUGCAAAAAAUAGC
rnacentral:lncRNA from 1 species